rnacentral:rRNA from 1 species
CCUACGGUCGGCAGCAGUGAGGAAUAUUGGUUAAUGGCCGGAAGGCUGAACCAGCCAUGCCGCGUGAAGGUCAGUGCCCUAUGGGCGUUAAACUUCUUUUGUGCGGGAGCAAUAAUGGUCACGUGUGGCCAGACGAGAGUACCGUACGAAUAAGCAUCGGCUAACUCCGUGCCAGCAGCCGCGGUAAUACGGGGGAUGCAAGCGUUAUCCGGAUGUAUUGGGUUUAAAGGGUGCGUAAGCUGUGAGGUAAGUCAGCGGUGAAAUGCCCCCGCUCAACGGGGUGAAGUGCCAUUGAUACUGCCUUGCUGGAAUGCGGAUGCCGUGGGAGGAAUGUGUGGUGUAGCGGUGAAAUGCAUAGAUAUCACACAGAACACCGAGUGCGAAGGCAUCUCACGAAUCCGCGAUUGACGCUGAUGCACGAAAGCGUGGGUAUCAAACAGGAUUAGAUACCCCAGUAGUC